GAUGAACGCUGGCGGUAUGCCUAACACAUGCAAGUCGUACGAGAGUUUUUAACUCUAGUGGCGGACGGGUGAGUAAAGCAUCGGAACGUACCGUGUAGUGGGGGAUAACGUAGCGAAAGUUACGCUAAUACCGCAUACGCACUGAGGUGGAAAGCAGGGGAUCGCAAGACCUUGCGCUAUACGAGCGGCCGAUGUCAGAUUAGCUAGUUGGUAGGGUAAAGGCCUACCAAGGCGACGAUCUGUAGCGGGUCUGAGAGGAUGAUCCGCCACACUGGGACUGAGACACGGCCCAGACUCCUACGGGAGGCAGCAGUGGGGAAUUUUGGACAAUGGGCGAAAGCCUGAUCCAGCCAUGCCGCGUGAGUGAAGAAGGCCUCGGUGUAAGCUCUUCGGCUGGGAGAAAUACGCACAGGCUAAUACUCUGUGUGGAUGACGGUACCGAGCACAAGAAGCACCGGCUAACUACGUAG
rnacentral:rRNA from 1 species